rnacentral:lncRNA from 10 species
AAAUUAUUUCUGCAAAUUUCUGUUUUCUCCUUUUAAAUUUUUGAUUUUUUUUUGAGUUUUAAAUUUACUUUUUAGCCUCUAUUGGUUUUUUAUAUGUGUGUAACUCUUGCACUUUAAUUUUAAUUUCAAAAAUUUUAAAUAUUUUAAGUAGUCUCUCUCUUGAUUUGCUUAUGUAAUAGUUGAUAGGCAAAGUGGAAGCAGCAGAGAUAAACAUCCUUAAAAGGGGAUCAUAACAAUCACCUUGAACUCUUUUUUUUACUGCCCUUUUGCUGCCCUCAGUGGAAUUCUCCUUUUUUAUAGUGUUAUAAAAGCCAUGAUCCUCUCAGGAGAUUUACUGGGCUGCAACUCUUUCCGGGGCCACAGACAUCUUUUUGCAGACAGCUCUUGCGCACUCCUGGCAUGGAGAUGUUUCUCAUUGUCUCACCUAUUUUAAUUAAGAGGAAUAAUAUUUGAAGUACAUUAAUAUCCCUUUCUCUUUUGCAUUUUCAUGGCUUAAUCUUCUUAUUCAGAUGGAACUCUCCAUCUUACUGGAGAUGAGGAUAAGGAGGAGAUAGGGCCUGGGAUGGAGUUUAGGACUGCUAUCAUGAGAAUACAAAGAGAAGACAUUAAUAGUUACCAGCUAGUAUCUAAAAGAGGAUUUGCAGCAAGACUGCCUUAAAAUCUAGGUUCUGUGUAGAGAUUGCAUUAGCAUACUAAGAACUAAAGCUGGUAGUCAGUGAGCAUUUAUUUUCUACCCUGAGUGUAGAGAAAAUAUUUCCUUUAGCAAUUCUAGGCUAAGGAACCUGCUCUCCUAGCAGAUGGAUGCUUUGGUGGAAGAAUAAGCUGAGCCUAACCUGAGAAAUGAAGAGAAGUAAAAGGGAGUCAGAUAGGAGAGAGCAGAGCAGGCACUAGGGUUUUAAUCAAUUCCAACACUUGAUAUGAGAGUGACAGUUUAGAAACGUUCGGGUUGACACAUGCAUGUAGAAAACAUCAGUGCUAGCGGCAAGUGACCUGAUUCCCCAGGUGGGUGGGCCUGCGAGACUCUAGGCACUAGAGCCUAGAAGAAGCCCUGAGCAGAGCAUUUCCAACGUGGUGCAGGGAUAUGCCAAACAGCAGUGUUGAAGGGAGGCAGGGCUCUGGUUUCUCUUUUCUGGGUUGAAGACCCUGAGGGAGGUAUGUGCUGGAUAAGACCAGGGAAUAUGGAGAGCAGAGGGGAUGGCUUCAGUAGAGCAUACUUGACAUCCUGAUUGGAUAGCAGAGUUUCAGAGAUUAGAUCUUGGCCACUUUGGUUCUCAUGCGUUUUGUUUGGGACCUACCUUCUCCACAAGGGAGUUAGCUGAAAGUCUGAUUUGAGGUCUUUCUGGAAAGUGUAGCCCUGAAGUCAAGCAUUGUAGAAUAUACUGCCUGGGUCAAAAUUAAUUGGAAGUCACAUCCAGGAAUUAAGGAACGUUCAGAGCUGGGGAGAGUUGAAGUGGACGAAAUAAUUAGGGAUGAUCAUAGUACCUGAGAGAAAAAGAGAGAGAUUUCAAAUUAGACAGCUAGAGAAAAGAGCAGGAAGGGAGCAAAGGAGAGGAAAAAGGAGAGAGAGAGAGAGAGAGAGACAGAGAGAACUACAGUACACAUCUGAUUCAACAGCAUCAAAGUAGAAAUUGACAGUGAGGACCCACGUGACAGCAGAAAGACACCAAAUGCAGUUUCAGACGCUGUAACUCUGCCCAGACCAGGUCAUUUAAACCAUGUCCCCCCAUACACUCAAACACUGGUUUAUAGGGGAGCAGAAGAGGGAAACAGAAAUCUUUUAGCUUUACAUGGGAAGAGUGAGCACUUACCCGAAGGAAGUUUUAAGUUAUUGACUGUCCCCCUACCCCUGCAUCACAUACAUUUCUCAACCGAUAGGGCUUGUAAAAGAGAUCCAGUAAAUUUAAAGACAUUUUAAAAAGCAGAUCUGUGUCCACUUGAAUUAAACAUUUGGACUUGGGUUAAGUAGAAUCCAAGUUGUAUGAAUGACAAGAGUGGAAGGGCAAAAGGAGAUGAUAUGUGAGGAAAGACCCUCCUAAUAUUGUUUUGGCCAAAUAUGUCCUUAAGCAAUGUUGAGCUUCCUGAGGCAUUCUUGGGGGAAAAUCUAUAGGUGCUGCUGUAAGAGCCAUCUUAAAAACAAGUUCUAGAUUACGGGAAAUAAAACCUAGUUGACUCCCAUUGGUAGAUAGUAAUCUUUCUUAUUCAGAUGGAACCCUCUGUCUCACUGGAGAUGAGGAUUAGAAGGAGAUAAGGCCUGGGAUAGAUGUUAGAACUGCUACCAUGAGAAUACAAAAAGAAGGCAUUAAUAGUUAUUGAUGGGAGAAGGGACGGUACUAACUGAAAAGAGACAAUAUCCUUUUGCCCUUUGAGCCAGUGCUCUGCUACUCACUGAGAAAGCUUUUGGGGCCAAGGGAGGCAGCUGAGACUGGGCUUCUUUAAUACUUCGUACUGUUUUCCAAAGGAAAGAUUAGGCAAUGUAAAAGGUAAUCUGAUUCAGACUGAAGGCCGUGGUAUAGCUUCUCCCAGCUUCAUAAACGUUUCUACUAGACUCCCACAUGAUUCAUUUAGAGGGUUCAAAUGAUCAAGAGGUUCUUUUCUCAAUGAAACCUGUUCCCCUCUAAAAUGGCUUUUCAGUGUUCACUAAAAAUCCAGUCUUAGGAGACAGUCUUUGCAUAGUGUGUGGGACAAAAAUAAUAAUAAUAAUAAAAAGACCAUGCAAACUGAAUCUAUGCAAAGCAAUCUUAAUAACUAAUGAGAAAAAUUACAAUUGUCCUCAAUUCUUAAAAAUGUUAAAACACUAAAACUCUGUUACUGUAGGUUGGAAAUAUAUAGCAAAAUGAAAAAAAAGCUGGCUAAAUUAAUAUUUACUUAUAGCACCAUAAUUUAAAACAUUAGAAACAUUGAUAAUUGAAUUCCAUUAUUUAUUUGUAAAAAAAAAGUAUCAAAAAUAAUUUGAACAUGCUUGCCUUCUCAUAUAACUUAAAAUGUAGAAUGAAUAUCUUUUCUAUUGCGUGGUGAAUUGUCACACUCUUUCCAAAGUUUGGAUUAGCUUCCAGCAGUUUAUCUUUUGUGCUUUUAAUGUGAAAUAUUUCUGAGAUGUCCUUUAAUGUGAAGAUUUUUCCUGGCAUCACUUCCUCUAUGACAUCUUCCUCUUUUCUUUUUUGUCACAAAUGCUUUGCUUAUUUAUAUUGGUAAGUUGUUCACCUUAGCUAAAUUCCACUGGCUGCAUAUCUAGACUCUCUUGAAUGGCUGCGGUGUCAAUAUUCCCAGUCAGCUAUGUCUUCUGUGCUGUGCAUGUUUGAUUUAAAUUUUACUUAUAUUGUUAUCGCUUUUAGUUUCUUCAUUGCACUUUCAUCUUUGUUGGCCAAUUCUUUCUUUUGAGUAUCUAUUUUCAUGAAAUGUGACAUCGGUUUAUUUCCAGCCGACCAGGAGGCAACACAACUACACACUGUGUGAACUGAACCUCAGAUACCACUGGCCUGUCACCAACAGAUUUUGAAGCAAAUGAUGUGAUUGUUCACCGAUUAUCAGUGCAUCUGUUAUUUACAUAGUGAUUUGUGAACUGACAAGUUAGCAGCAGUUUCUGCUUUAUGCAAUUGUUCUGUUAAUAGACUGUGAUUGUGGUAAGUGAAAUUUAAACUGUGUUGUUGGGAAACUGUUGUUAUUUAACUAACCUGUGAUAAUUGAAAUUCAUGCAUAUUGGAACUGUGCAAAGUAAGAACAGCCUGCAAAUAAAGCAAUACUUUCUAUACCUUCACCUUCUCAGAGGAUUAGAACUUCAGGGUAACUCAUUUUCUUUCUUUUUUUCUUAAAUUGAGGUAAACUUUACAUACAGUGAAUGCACAGUUCUUUUUUUUAUUUUUAUUUUAUUAUUAUUAUACUUUAAGUUUUAGGGUACAUGUGCACAACGUGCAGGUUUGUUACAUAUGUAUACAUAAAUGCACAGUUCUUUAGAGUACAAUUAGAUACAUAUACUAAUUAUAUUUAUUGUGCGUAACUGUUACCUGAAUUCCAUUCAUUUCUUGACUCCUUUUUUCCUGCAUGAAGAUUUUUCUUCUGGAGUCUGUACAAAUCACCAUGAGACACUCCAGUUUGGGUACUAUGACAUAAAAAGUCAAUAGAUUAUCCCAUGUGGGGUUUGAUGAGUUUGGGGAGCCUUUUUAUUUGGGCCAGAUCACUCAACAACAGCUGCAGUGUUUGAGCCACCAAAUCUUAAGAAGAAAAACUGUAUUCUUAUGAUUAGAUUUUUUGAAAAUUGCCACUUCUUAAGAUUCCUUUUAAAAAUGUGGUUCAUUGGGGUUUCAAAAAUAAAGAUCUAGAUGAACUAGCUUUCCUGAUAGGUUUUAAUAUUAUCUCAAUGUUAAUAGCAAUAUUUUUAUCCCCAUGAUUUCAAAACUUUUGUUUUAAGGGCAAAAUAACAAAGGUAAACAAAGGUAAGCGAACCACCGCCAUCCUGUUUAUUCUCAGGACUUCUUGGUGUUUGGUCUCAUAGGAAAAUCCAAAAGCCUUUCCUGGAGAAGUUCCACUUGUUUUACAUAGGCUACUGGAUGUCUGGCUUGAUACCAAUAAUCUGAACUGUUAUUUAUUGUGGGUUCUCCAUGGUGGAGGUAAUUAUCUCUGGACAUUGAAAUGACCGGAUUGGGGCGUGCUCCACGGACCACUCCUGGAACACAUUGCAGAGGAGAGGAUUGUGUCUCUGGAACUCUUCUCCUUUGUAAGUUGAAUUAAUCUGAAUGAAUAAUUCUUCACUAGAAGAAACAGAUCCUGCUGAAUGAAAGCACAUAAUGGAGCCCUAGGGGUGAUCUGAGAAACAACUAUAAUUAUCUCUUCUCUGCUUACUGCCAUACUUAGGAAGGAGUCUUUGGACUAGGCAGAAAGUGAUCAAUUUCCUCUCAUAUUACCCUCAACCUGCGGCCUAUUUGUACUCCUGAUUGGAUAAAAGGGUUAAGAAGAACAAAAUGGUUGGAGAGAUUUUUGAAUUUUUAUGAUAAUUAUUUGGUGUCCCAGGAUCUACUGAAUGUCUCAAGAGAGGAACUUUUUUCCACUUCACAAAUUCUAAUUUUUGACUUGAUAAAGAAUGAUGAAUAUUUGUCACACAGAUAUUUAAAUGGAAUCAGGGCUGUAUAUAACCAUGACAUAAUACUUUGUCAAAAAGUGAAAAGUUAAUCUGGUUGAAGGUAUUUUUACCUGGCAUAUGGAGAAGAUGAUGACAAUAAUGUGGAACUUGAUUAGACAUCAACAGAGACUCAAUGCCUCCUGGAAAACACCUGAGAAAUGAUUGAAGCUCGCUCUGGUCUUGCCUGGAAUCAUGCAUAACAUUUGUUGCUGCCUGCAUGUGGAUUCAUUUUAGCAGUUUAUCAAUUUGGACAGGGAAUUUUGAAUAAAAAAUUUUGGCAGUCAUUAUAGUGACUCUUCUGAGACUGAAAAUUCAGGUAACAAGGAAAAUCAGUGACUCUUUCUCUCUGCUUUCUUCAAAACACAAAUAAUCCAAUGAUGUAUAGGCUGCAUUGCCCUUUGAUUUGUUACCUUAGAGAUCAUUACAUGUUAGUACAUAAAGAAACUUCCCAAUCUUCUUUUAUAGCAUCCAGGUACUCCAAUGUGUAAUUCAGCCAUAACUUAAUAAAAUGGACUCUGUUUGAUAAACAUUUGGAUUAUUUCAAAUAUUUUACUAUUAUAAAGAAUGUUGAA